UACGGAGGAUCCAAGCGUUGUCCGGAUUUAUUGGGUUUAAAGGGUGCGUAGGCGGAUAAUUAAGUCAGUGGUGAAAUCUUGCGGCUCAACCGUAAAAUUGCCAUUGAAACUGAUUAUCUUGAGUACAGUUGAGGUGGGCGGAAUGUAUCAUGUAGCGGUGAAAUGCUUAGAUAUGAUACAGAACACCUAUGCGAAAGCAGCUCACUAAACUGCAACUGACGCUGAGGCACGAAAGCGUGGGGAUCAAACAGG
rnacentral:rRNA from 1 species